ACUUGAGAGGCACGCCGCGACAUUAUUUGCGUCUGAUUUGAGAAGACAACAAAAACUUGUAAAACAUACUAUAUAAGUUCAAAACAAUAGAAACCAAGACCUGAAAAUGGUUUUGUUGAAUUACCAUGAAAAGCUUUACUUCCACAAAUCUGAAUCUUGCUCCAGCUUUUGUUUUUUUCUCUAGAACUUGAUCUCUCACGUUUU